GAAAGGAUUAACCAUGAAGAUCUAUCUGGCAGUCAUAAUUGCCUUUUCUUUUCUUAACGUCUUCAAUCUGCGCAUUAUAAGAGGAAGUCUUGGAUCUCAGAUCAUACCAAUAAGCUCCUGUGUAAAUCUGUAUACAAAAGAAAUCAAGAUCCAAAGAAUUGCUAGUUACAGAACAUUGGAAAACGGACCAGUAAAUGCUGUGAUAUUAAUCACAAAGAAUGGGGUCAAGGUCUGUGUGCCACGUGAUCGCAAAUGGGUGAAAAGAGUGACCGACCACUUGGACCNAAAAGGAAAGUCUGGGAAAUCAACAAGACCACAGAACACAACAAGAGCCUAGACUUCAAUAUGUUGGAUGAUCAAUAGCUGCUCAGCCCAUUUAUUAACUGUUGGCUUGAAAAGAGAGUUUCUUAUCCAGUAGAAUUUUGGAAUACGCUCAUCCAUUAAAGAAAAACUGAUUGGACUAUGGACAUUUAGGUUUACUUUUUUUUUCUUAACAAGUUAGAUAUUUCAGCUUACCAGCACUAGACAGUAGUAUGUCUCACAUGUUCACCCAUUUAGUUCUAACUCUGUAAAUCCUUCCACUUGAUCAUUCAGUGNAAAGUCCAGAGAACAUGUAUUGUAUGUUCAGAUAGCCUAAUACUGACAUCUGUUAUCUCCAGACUAGGAAGGGCUAAAAUAGGCCUUGUGUGAAAAUCUGAAGAUGUGCUGGUGCAUAUGAUUCUAGAAGAAUGUUUGAAAAUGAAGUCCAGUCUCCAANGAUAGGAAGCUGUAGUUCUACUCUGGUUUACACUACCUUGAGUUGCCAGCUCCGAGUCCCUCACCUUAGAAAGAAUCCAGGCAAACUGGAACAGAUUCAGAAAAUGGUAAUGAAGAUAACUAGGGCUGCAGCUCCACUUACACUCUGAAAACAUUGGUCUUCCUGCUGGUCCAGGAUGCUGGUGCCUGGAUACGGAGGGCAAUUUUGACUUCCAGGUACAGGCACAGUAGCCUCUUCAGUCACCAUGGCCUGUAUCAACAGGCUGCUGAGAGGUGACAGGAGGUAUAAAGGAGUGAGGUAGCAGCUCCUAUGCUGUUCCUCAUGUCCUCAAGAGCCUUUC
rnacentral:lncRNA from 1 species